GACGAACGCUGGCGGCGUGCUUAACACAUGCAAGUCGAACGAAGAGCGAUGGAAGCUUGCUUCUAUCAAUCUUAGUGGCGAACGGGUGAGUAACGCGUAAUCAACCUGCCCUUCAGAGGGGGACAACAGUUGGUAACGACUGCUAAUACCGCAUACGCUCUAAUCUCGGCAUCGAGGAUAGAUGAAAGGUGGCCCCUACAUGUAAGCUAUCACUGCAGGUUGGGAUUGCGUCUGUUUAGGUCGUUGGCGGGGUAACGGACCACCAAGGCGAUGAUCAGUAGCCGGUCGGAGAGGAUGGACGGCCACAUUGGGACGGAGACACGGCCCAGACGCCUACGGGAGGCAGCAGGGGUGAAUCGGCCGCAAUGGACGAAAGUCUGACGGAGCAACGCCGCGUGAGGGAUGACGGCCUUCGGGUUGGAAAGCUCUGUUAAUCGGGACGAAAGGCCUUCUUGCGAAUAGUGAGAAGGAUUGACGGUACCGGAAUAGAAAGCCACGGCUAACUACGUG
rnacentral:rRNA from 1 species